AGGUCAUCAGGGGGCGAGGCUAACCAUCCUAUUCAGUGUCAGGCUAAGAGUGAGGAGAAAUAGAUUAGCCAUGUGCCACUGCUGUGGACGUCAAUACUGCAGAACUCCCCGCCACCCUCUGCUUGAUCAUUCAAGGUGACAUGAUGAAGCCCUCUGGAUGGCUUAUAUCCAUCGAGGGACAUGUCGUGUUGGGCCCACACCCUUUCUUUUUACAGGGAGUAGCAGCAUUCUUCAACAGCCAUUACAUAUUCAACCUUGAGUAGCCUGCCGC